UACGGAGGAUGCAAGCGUUAUCCGGAAUGAUUGGGCGUAAAGCGUCCGCAGGUGGCGAUGUAAGUCUGCUGUUAAAGAGUGAGGCUCAACCUCAUAAGAGCAGUGGAAACUACAUAGCUAGAGUGCGGUAGGGGCAGAGGGAAUUCCUGGUGUAGCGGUGAAAUGCGUAGAGAUCAGGAAGGACACCGGUGGCGAAAGCGCUCUGCUAGGCCGCAACUGACACUGAGGGACGAAAGCUAGGGGAGCGAAUGGG
rnacentral:rRNA from 1 species